UACGUAGGGACCAAGCGUUGUCCGGAUUUAUUGGGCGUAAAGAGCGUGUAGGCGGCCAGGUAGGUCUGCUGUGAAAACUCGAGGCUUAACCUCGAGAUGUCGGCGGAAACCAUCUGGCUAGAGUCCGGAAGAGGAGAGUGGAAUUCCUGGUGUAGCGGCGAAAUGCGCAGAUAUCAGGAAGAACACCCGUGGCGAAGGCGGCUCUCUGGGACGGUACUGACGCUGAGACGCGAAAGCGUGGGGAGCGAACAGG
rnacentral:rRNA from 1 species